rnacentral:rRNA from 1 species
CAGCAGCCGCGGUAAUGCAGAGGAUGCAAGCGUUAUCCGGAAUGAUUGGGCGUAAAGCGUCUGUAGGUGGCUUUUCAAGUCCGCCGUCAAAUCCCAGGGCUCAACCCUGGACAGGCGGUGGAAACUACCAAGCUGGAGUACGGUAGGGGCAGAGGGAAUUUCCAGUGGAGCGGUGAAAUGCGUUGAGAUCGAAAAGAACACCAACAGCGAAAGCACUCUGCUGGGACGACACUGACACUAAGAGACGAAAGCUAGGGGAGCAAAUGGGAUUAGAUACCCCUGUAGUCCCUGUCUCUUAUAC